rnacentral:rRNA from 1 species
UACGGAGGGUGCGAGCGUUGUCCGGAAUCACUGGGCGUAAAGGGCGCGUAGGCGGCCUGAUAAGUAGGGGGUGAAAUCCUGCGGCUUAACCGCAGGGCUGCCUUCUAAACUGUCAGGCUGGAGCACAGUAGAGGCAGGUGGAAUUCCCGGUGUAGCGGUGGAAUGCGCAGAUAUCAGGAGGAACACCGGUGGCGAAGGCGGGUCUCUGGGCAACAACUGACGCUGAGGAGCGAAAGCGUGGGGAGCGAACAGG